GUUACAAACAGCAAUAAUCUGCUUGAUGUGGGUGCCAGGAGACAAACUGCUCCUUUGGAAGAGCAGCAUGAUGCAUCUCUCAGCCCAACAAGUCACUUUAAAUAGUUGCAGAAUGUAGCCAGAAUUCGGUGAACCUUGCCGCUAUACUCACUAUAUCAACGUUUGCUAAUAUCAUAUUCUAGCAUUUAUUGAGAACCUACAAUGUGCUGUGGCGAGGAGCUAAAGAACUGUCUAUUUAAUAGACAUUUGAGCCGUCUGUGCUGGCUGGCUGUGUCAGGCCAGUGACUUCAGUGGGAAAAGAAUUCUCCAAACAGGAAAAAACAAACAAACAAAUAAACAAAAACCAGUUUAUUAGAGUCAGUGCAUGCAGCAGAUAAAAAAAGUCUGGCGGAUUCCAGAAGACAAGCCCAAGCACAAACACAGUACAAAGACAAGCACAAGAAUUUCACCCAUGAGCCCACCCGGGCAGUCAGGCACCAUUACGAGUCUCCCAUAAUCCAGGUUGGCAUCAAACUUCCUCUGUUCCCAAGGAUUCCUUUGAGUGCAUGGUGAUUCUGCUCCUCCACCUUCCAAGUACUGGGAUUACAGGCUUGUAUCACCAUGCCCGAGUUUAUGUUGUGUUGAGGACUGAACCAGGCUUCAUGCAUGCUAGCCAAGCACUCUACCAACCAAGCUAUA
rnacentral:lncRNA from 1 species